CACCGCGGUUAUACGAGUGACUCACAUUAACACUUCCCGGCGUAAAGUGUGAUUAAAGAGUGACCUCCAAAUAACUACAGUUAUGACCUCAUCAAGCUGUUAUACGCAUUCAUGAGUGGAAUAGUCAACAACGAAAGUGACUCUAAAUUACCAGGAAUCUUGAUGUCACGACAGUUGGGCCCCAAACUAGGAUUAGAUACCCUACUAUGCCCUACCAUAAACUUAGACAAUAAUCUACUAUAUUGUCCGCCAGAGUACUACAAGCGCUAGCUUAAAACCCAAAGGACUUGGCGGUGCCCCACACCCACCUAGAGGAGCCUGUUCUAUAACCGAUAAUCCCCGUUAAACCUCACCACUUCUUGCCAUUACCGUCUAUAUACCGCCGUCGUCAGCUCACCCCGUGAGGGUUAAAAAGUAAGCAAAAAGAAUUAAACUCCUAAACGUCAGGUCGAGGUGUAGCGAAUGAAGUGGAAAGAAAUGGGCUACAUUUUUUUACCAAAAAAUACGAACAGUAAACUGAAAAAUUACCCAAAGGUGGAUUUAGCAGUAAGAGAAGGUCAGAGUACUUCUCUGAAACUGGCUCUGGGGCGCGCACACACCGCCCGUCACUCUCCUCAAUAAAUAUACUUAUUUUUUUAUAAAAAUUUUACCAAAACAAGAGGAGGCAAGUCGUAACAUGGUAAGUG
rnacentral:rRNA from 1 species